CACUGUGCUCCUGGGUUCCUGUAACAGGGCGGAGUCCUUUGUUUGGGCAAGCACGGUUCCCACCCGUGUGCACAGAGGGAGUGUUUCUCCCAGAAGCCUGAGGAAGGCUGCGAUAAGCAUGACUCAGGAUGGACAGCAAAGAGAGGCUGCUCCAGAUAAAACACUGCGCGGACUGGGUGGACUGGGGCAGCACCCUGCAGCGUUGGAGAUGCUUUUCAAGUGGGGGUGAAAGGGGCGCAUACUCAUUUUCUCGAGAAGGAUCAAGCAUCUAGCUUCUCUGAAGGAGCUGACUAAUUUCGAGUGGCUCAUUGUGGACCCGCAGGCCAACUUCCUCCUGAGCAAGGAGGCUGGUUCAGAAGCAGGAGGUGUGAUCCUGGCCCUCCUCCCCAGGGAGCGAUCACUGGGGGCCUGCUUGCUCUCCCC
rnacentral:lncRNA from 1 species